rnacentral:lncRNA from 1 species
GUGGGGCUAAGCUGUGGAAGAAGAGAGUUAAUCAGUCUCCUUUUUGGUGCUCUUGCAAAAGAUAGGUAAAAAGGUUGUUUAUUAGUGAGAUUAUAGAAUCUCAGAAUGAAAUCGCUUGGCUUGACUUGAAAUUUUUUCUACUUCGCUUUCCCAUAACUUCACUAAAGAUUUGGCCGUAGAAGGAUCGAAUUGUAUCCGAGGAACAUGGGAAUACAAAAAAGUAAGAAGAGAGG